rnacentral:rRNA from 1 species
AGUGAACGCUGGCGGUAGGCCUAACACAUGCAAGUCGAACGGCAGCACAGUAAGAGCUUGCUCUUACGGGUGGCGAGUGGCGGACGGGUGAGGAAUACAUCGGAAUCUACUUUUUCGUGGGGGAUAACGUAGGAAAACUUACGCUAAUACCGCAUCCGACCUACGGGUGAAAGCAGGGGAUCUUCGGACCUUGCGCGAUUGAAUGAGCCGAUGUCGGAUUAGCUAGUUGGCGGGGUAAAGGCCCACCAAGGCGACGAUCCGUAGCUGGUCUGAGAGGAUGAUCAGCCACACUGGAACUGAGACACGGUCCAGACUCCUACGGGAGGCAGCAGUGGGGAAUAUUGGACAAUGGGCGCAAGCCUGAUCCAGCCAUACCGCGUGGGUGAAGAAGGCCUUCGGGUUGUAAAGCCCUUUUGUUGGGAAAGAAAAGCAGUAGGUUAAUACCCCGCUGUUCUGACGGUACCCAAAGAAGAAGCACCGGCUAACUUCGUG